rnacentral:tRNA from 1 species
GAGGCGGUAGCUCAGUGGGAGAGCGCCUAAGCGAAUGGUGUGGUCGAGAUCGGGUUGCGAAAGCGGCCCCACUUCGAUAAAUCCAUGCACCUGUGCCAGCACGGCAAUACAGGUCUUCGCAAGGGAGGUCGAAGGUUCAAUCCCUUCCCGCUUCA